rnacentral:rRNA from 1 species
AUUGAACGCUGGCGGCAGGCCUAACACAUGCAAGUCGAACGGAGCGGCUGACGGGUGAGUAAUGACUAGGAAUCUGCCUGGUAGUGGGGAUAACGUCCGGAAACGGGCGCUAAUACCGCAUCCUAUCAGAUGAGCCUAGGUCGUAUUAGCUAGUUGGUGGGGUAAGGGCCUACCAAGGCGACGAUCCGUAACUGGUCUGAGAGGAGGAUCAGUCACACUGGAACUGAGACACGGUCCAGACUCCUACGGGAGGCAGCAGUGGGGAAUAUUGGACAAUGGGCGAAAGCCUGAUCCAGCCAUGCCGCGUGUGUGAAGAAGGUCUUCGGAUUGUAAAGCACUUUAAGUUGGGAGGCGUUACCAACAGAAGAAGCACCGGCUAACUUCGUGCCAGCAGCCGCGGUAAUAC